rnacentral:rRNA from 1 species
GUCUUAUUGAUUAUAAUUUUAAGUCUAAUCUGCCCAAUGAGUAAUUAAAUGGCUGCAGUAUUUUAACUGUACAAAGGUAGCAUAAUAAUUAGUUUCUUAAUUAGGAACUGGAAUGAAUGAUUGGACGAAAUAGUGACUGUCUUAGUUUAAAUUUUAGAAUUUUAUUUUUGAGUUAAAAAGCUUAAAUUUUUUUAAAAGACGAGAAGACCCUAUAGAAUUUUAUAUUAUUUGAAUAUUUUGUUAUUAGGGUUUUAAUAUAGAAUUUUUUAAUUAGUAUUUAGUUGGGGUGAUUGAAAAAUUUAAUAAACUUUUUUUUAUUAUUAACAUUAAUAUAUGAUUAUAUGAUCCAGUUUUUCUGAUUAUAAGAUUAAAUUACCUUAGGGAUAACAGCGUAAUUUUUUUAGAGAGUUCUAAUCGAUAAAAGAGAUUGCGACCUCGAUGUUGGAUUAAAGUUUAUUUUUAAUGUAGGAGUUAAAAUAUUAGGUCUGUUCGACCUUUAAAACUUUACAUGAUCUGAGUUUAAACCGGUGUGAGCCAGGUUGGAUUCUAUCUUUAAUUAAAUUAAAUAUUUUAGUACGAAAGGACCAAGUAUUUGUUAUAAUAAUUUUAUUAGAA